rnacentral:rRNA from 1 species
AUUGAACGCUGGCGGCAGGCCUAACACAUGCAAGUCGAGCGGAUGAAGGGAGCUUGCUCCUGGAUUCAGCGGCGGACGGGGGAGUAAUGCCUAGGAAUCUGCCUGGAAGGGGGGGAUAACGUCCGGAAACGGGCGCAAAUACCGCAAACGUCCGGAGGGGGAAAGUGGGGGAUCUUCGGACCUAACGCAAUAAGAGGAGCCUAGGUCGGAUUAGCUAGUUGGUGGGGUAAAGGCCUACCAAGGCGACGAUCCGUAACUGGUCUGAGAGGAUGAUCAGUCACACUGGAACUGAGACACGGUCCAGACUCCUACGGGAGGCAGCAGUGGGGAAUAUUGGACAAUGGGCGAAAGCCUGAUCCAGCCAUGCCGCGUGUGUGAAGAAGGUCUUCGGAUUGUAAAGCACUUUAAGUUGGGAGGAAGGGCAGUAAGUUAAUACCUUGCUGUUUUGACGUUACCAACAGAAUAAGCACCGGCUAACUUCGUG